rnacentral:lncRNA from 1 species
GGAGCCACCACCCCUGCCAGCAAAAUAUCUUCUGCAAGGAGACCCUCUUCCAAUUGUUCCUUUCCAGAGCAUAGCAAUGAAGACUUGGCCAUGCAAGCAAGGGGAGGUGAGACCUGAUACUGCCAGAGAAGGAAUAGGGCACUGUCAACUCACUAACUGGGUCCUAGAGCAGUUGGAACACAUGGACUUUGGAUUUUCUUCUUCCUGGAACUUCCUUUAUGCACUCGUGUUUGUUACUCACACAUGUAUUUAUCCAUUGUCCAUGUCUGCUUGUCAGUUUUAGUUACCUCCUACCCCCACCUGUCCAAGGUGCUCUUGUCCUCAGAAGAUCCCAGUGGCAUGAAUAAGACAGACUUGGAAACUUUUAUCCUAGAUAAAACUGGUCUGGAACACAUAAAAAGUAUUUCCCCAACAAUUUUGAUUCACUUCAAUUCCUGAAAACUAACUUUUGACUUUCAAAGAAAAUUCCACUUUGGCAGCUCUACAGGUACUAACAACAGUUUUCCCUUACCUGGAAGAAGAGCCUUGGAGGAGAAAACACACCAUGUCGUUUACUUUCAACUAGGGAAAAUGUCCUAGCAGCAGCAGAAAUAAGGCAAAGUCCCCUGCCAGCACCACUCCCAACUUCAUACAGUAGAAGUCCAGCUGUUAAUACCCCUUAUGCCAGCAAGACUGCACAGCAAAGCAGAAAUGACCCUCAGAAGCCACCUUCUCUGACCUGGACAAGAGGAUACUGCACCCCCCGCCCACUUCCAUCCCCUUACUUCCAGCAAUAAUAGGGACCACCACACAACCUAGAAGAUGCUACCUGUCUUCAGAUUCAAGAUGGAAGAUAUUGUCAUAGUCUACUGGGGUCUCCUCCCUGAAUCGACAACCCCUCCCAGCUUUUCACCCAGGAGACAACAUGGUUUAGACAGAGUGCCACGUUUUCAAACCUUCCACCUGUGAUCCAAAUAUGCCAUAUUUCCGCCGGCUACCUUCUCUACCACACUGCCUUCUGCUGGCUAUAUGAGAUUCCUGCAAGAACACAGAACAUUCACAUCUCUGCCUCAAUGGAAUUCAAAAACUUCAUUAAUGUUUCUAGGAGCAAACAUUGUUAAAAAAAUUAACACAUGAAAACUGCUUAAAUCAAUGAAAAAUUUGCCAGAAUUCUUUACAGCACAACUCCACACUCUUUGAUGAAGACAAUCACAUUGUCUGUUUGUAUUUUCUCCCUAAUAAUCUCCAUAAAUCCUAACAAAGCUCACCACUUCCUCUGGACUUUGAACCUAUUCCAAGACCUAUGAUGUUUUUUUUUUCUCUCUCUGCUUCCCAAUCAAACAUAUGCAUCCCUGACUGGUCAUGUCUCUGCUCUUUGCUGGAGAUGUAAAACAAAUGGAGGAAAGUGGAGACUGAAUGGUAAAUCCUUGGAAGGACCCUAGAGGCAAUCAGGGGCCACCCAAGAGUGACAAGGGGACCUGGUUCAAGUCAGAAGGUCUUCUUUUUCCCUCUGGUUGCCCAGUCUCAGUCUCUGAUUUCAGCUGCCUCCAGACCCACCUCUACAUGAGGCACCUAUCCAUUUCUGAUUAGGGACUCGCCAUGCAGGGAAGGUGAGGAGAGUACACAAAGGAGCCAUCAGUGUCAGGGCUGCAGGAGGGAUGAGCAUGUGACAGGCCCUGCAAGGUUCAUAGAUGUGUGAGUGCUCAGCAUCUGGGACCAGAAUUGUGAGCCUGGCUCUGCACAGAGCCCAGUCUGUUGGGGAUGGACUCCAGAGAGAGUUAUUACUG